rnacentral:lncRNA from 1 species
CAAAAAUUUCAAAGGAAAUAAAUCAUAAAUUAAGUGUGGAAGCAAAAUAAUUAGUUAGGGUUUACAUUCCUUACACAAUAACUUAAAGUACCAAAUAGUGCUACGAGAAUUACCAUUUUGAAGAAAAUACAAAAAGUUAAGGAAAUAAAUGAAAAAUAAAUAAAACUGGCAUCCUACUCACAACCCUCUUGUGGAUCGGGC